rnacentral:rRNA from 1 species
AUUGAACGCUGGCGGCAGGCUUAACACAUGCAAGUCGAACGAGUGGCGGACGGGAGAGUAAUGCUUGGGAAUCUAGCUUAUGGAGGGGGAUAACUACGGGAAACUGUAGCUAAUACCGCGUACCAUAGGAUGAACCCAUAUGGGAUUAGCUAGUAGGUGGGGUAAAGGGUCACCUAGGCGACGAUCUCUAGCUGGUCUGAGAGGAUGCUCAGCCACACUGGGACUGAGACACGGCCCAGACGCCUACGGGAGGCAGCAGUGGGGAAUUUGGCACAAUGGGCGAAAGCCUGAUGCAGCCAUGCCGCGUGUAUGAUGAAGGCCUUAGGGUUGUAAAGUACUUUCGGCGGGGAGGCGGUACCCGCAGAAGAAGCACCGGCUAACUCCGUGCCAGCAGCCGCGGUAAUAC